GGGGGAUAUUGCACAAUGGAGGAGACUCUGAUGCAGCAACGCCGCGUGAGGGAAGAAGGUCUUCGGAUUGUAAACCUUUGUCCUUGGUGACGAAACAAAUGACGGUAGCCAAGGAGAAAGCUCCGGCUAACUACGUGCCAGCAGCCGCGGUAAUACGUAGGGAGCAAGCGUUGUCCGGAUUUACUGGGUGUAAAGGGUGCGUAGGCGGCUCUGCAAGUCAGGCGUGAAAACUAUGGGCUUAACCCAUAGACUGCGUUUGAAACUGUGGGGCUUGAGUGAAGUAGAGGUAGGCGGAAUUCCCGGUGUAGCGGUGAAAUGCGUAGAGAUCGGGAGGAACACCAGUGGCGAAGGCGGCCUACUGGGCUUUAACUGACGCUGAGGCUCGAAAGCGUGGGGAGCAAAC
rnacentral:rRNA from 1 species